UAAUAAGUGUUUUAUGGCACUUUUUAAAUCCAUAUCCACCUUGUGUGCAAUGUCAGUCGAUCUUUUUCAUGGAGAUCGACCAAACAUCAACCUUUAUUUUUUAACUCUUUGUCUGAAAAAUAUUAUGAAUAAACAAUUCAAAAUA
rnacentral:misc_RNA from 1 species